GGGGAUUUAGCUCAGUGGUAGAGCGCUUGCCUAGCAAGCACAAGGCCCUGAGUUUGGUCCUCAGCUCCG
rfam:Rattus norvegicus chromosome 9, whole genome shotgun sequence.